CACGACUCUCGGCAACGGAUAUCUCGGCCCUCGCCACGAUGAAGAACGUAGCGAAAUGCGAUACUUAGUGUGAAUUGCAGAAUCCCGUGAAUCAUCAAGUCUUUGAACGCAAGUUGCGCCCGAGGCUUCGGCCAAGGGCACGUCUGCCUGGGUGUCGUAUGUUAAUCAAAUGCCCCAGCCCGUGCUCGGGCUGUGGAGCGGAGUUGGCCGUCCAUGCCCACCGUGCCCUGGUCGGCUAAAAUGCAUUGGGUUUCCGUCGCCUCGCACUGGUGAGCGGUGGUUCGGCCGUCGCGUGGCGACCGACCCGCGUGGGCCGGUGCGGGGGACAGGCGGUGCGCCUCUGUAGCCUCGAUGCCCGUCGUCCCGGGGCCCCCUGCCGGCGUACUACGGGCCUCUUCCCCGCGACCCC
rnacentral:rRNA from 1 species